GGGCUUGUGGUCUAGUGGUAUGACGUCUCCCUCACACGGAGGAGGUCGCCGGUUCGAGCCCGGCCAGGCCCA
rfam:Picrophilus torridus DSM 9790, complete genome.